AUGAACGCUGGCGGCGUGCCUCAUACAUGCAAGUCGAGCGAACAGACGAGGAGCUUGCUCCUCUGACGUUAGCGGCGGACGGGUGAGUAACACGUGGAUAACCUACCUAUAAGACUGGGAUAACUUCGGGAAACCGGAGCUAAUACCGGAUAAUAUAUUGAACCGCAUGGUUCAAUAGUGAAAGACGGUUUUGCUGUCACUUAUAGAUGGAUCCGCGCCGCAUUAGCUAGUUGGUAAGGUAACGGCUUACCAAGGCAACGAUGCGUAGCCGACCUGAGAGGGUGAUCGGCCACACUGGAACUGAGACACGGUCCAGACUCCUACGGGAGGCAGCAGUAGGGAAUCUUCCGCAAUGGGCGAAAGCCUGACGGAGCAACGCCGCGUGAGUGAUGAAGGUCUUCGGAUCGUAAAACUCUGUUAUUAGGGAAGAACAAAUGUGUAAGUAACUAUGCACGUCUUGACGGUACCUAAUCAGAGAGCCACGGCUAACUACGUG
rnacentral:rRNA from 1 species